rnacentral:rRNA from 1 species
GAUCCUGGCUCAGGAUGAACGCUAGCUACAGGCUUAACACAUGCAAGUCGAGGGGCGAGCAUGAACGUUAGCUUGCUAAGUUUGAUGGCGACCGGCGCACGGGUGAGUAACACGUAUCCAACCUGCCGAUGACUCGGGGAUAGCCUUUCGAAAGAAAGAUUAAUACCCGAUGGCAUAAUUCUUCCGCAUGGUAGAACUAUUAAAGAAUUUCGGUCAUCGAUAGGGAUGCGUUCCAUUAGGUUG